CUAUCCUGGACCCAAUGACACUGACAUAUUUGGGUUUUGAUGCACGAUUUGCGAGAAAAAAAGGGGUUUUAUUGGAUUUACACAUAUAUAUGUGUGGUUUAUGGAAAAUUGGUGAGGGGAUGGGUUUCGUCGUAAAUCGGCGACCAAAUCUAAUGAAACAAAAUUGUAGAUUCGAUGCCCCAGUCGUUCUGAACGUGCUGACGUGAUCUGAUCGAAAAUCUGACGGACGGAUCUCCGGGAAUCGCAGAAAAUUCGCUGAGGGGUCGAAAUUGGCAAAAUAGAAAAUCUGCGAAAGG
rnacentral:lncRNA from 1 species